CCGGGUUGCGGACAGUGUCUGGUGGGUAGUUUGACUGGGGCGGUCUCCUCCCAAAGAGUAACGGAGGAGCACGAAGGUUGGCUAAUCCUGGUCGGACAUCAGGAGGUUAGUGCAAUGGCAUAAGCCAGCUUGACUGCGAGCGUGACGGCGCGAGCAGGUGCGAAAGCAGGUCAUAGUGAUCCGGUGGUUCUGAAUGGAAGGGCCAUCGCUCAACGGAUAAAAGGUACUCCGGGGAUAACAGGCUGAUACCGCCCAAGAGUUCAUAUCGACGGCGGUGUUUGGCACCUCGAUGUCGGCUCAUCACAUCCUGGGGCUGAAGUAGGUCCCAAGGGUAUGGCUGUUCGCCAUUUAAAGUGGUACGCGAGCUGGGUUUAGAACGUCGUGAGACAGUUCGGUCCCUAUCUGCCGUGGGCGCUGGAGAAUUGAGGGGGGCUGCUCCUAGUACGAGAGGACCGGAGUGGACGCAUCACUGGUGUUCGGGUUGUCAUGCCAAUGGCACUGCCCGGUAGCUAAAUGCGGAAGAGAUAAGUGCUGAAAGCAUCUAAGCACGAAACUUGCCCCGAGAUGAGUUCUCCCUGAGACUUUAAGUCUCCUGAAGGAACGUUGAAGACGACGACGUUGAUAGGUCGGGUGUGUAAGCGCAGCGAUGCGUUGAGCUAACCGAUACUAAUGAACCGUGAGGCUUAACCUUACAACGCCGAAGGUGUUU
rnacentral:rRNA from 5 species